rnacentral:rRNA from 1 species
AAAGCUCUUUUGUCAGGGAAGAAACGGUGGACUCUAAUACAGAUCACUAAUGACGGUACCUGAAGAAUAAGCACCGGCUAACUACGUGCCAGCAGCCGCGGUAAUACGUAGGGUGCAAGCGUUAAUCGGAAUUACUGGGCGUAAAGCGUGCGCAGGCGGUUGUGCAAGACAGAUGUGAAAUCCCCGGGCUCAACCUGGGAAUUGCAUUUGUGACUGCACGGCUAGAGUGUGUCAGAGGGGGGUAGAAUUCCACGUGUAGCAGUGAAAUGCGUAGAGAUGUGGAGGAAUACCGAUGGCGAAGGCAGCCCCCUGGGAUAACACUGACGCUCAUGCACGAAAGCGUGGGGAGCAAACAGGAUUAGAUACCCUGGUAGUCCACGCCCUAAACGAUGUCUACUAGUUGUUGGGUCUUAAUUGACUUAGUAACGCAGCUAACGCGUGAAGUAGACCGCCUGGGGAGUACGGUCGCAAGAUU